rnacentral:pre_miRNA from 1 species
AGUUGGAGAGCAUGAUCUUGACAUGAAUCGAUGAAUAAAUUGCCAGAUCUAACUCUUCCAGCUCG